rnacentral:rRNA from 1 species
CUGGAUUGCGCAUGGGCGCAGCCUGAUCCAGCAAUGCCGCGUGAGUGAUGAAGGCCUUCGGGUUGUAAAGCCCUUUUGUUCGGGACGAUAAUGACGGUACCGAGAGAAUAAGCCCCGGCUAACUUCGUGCCAGCAGCCGCGGUAAUAA